AAGCGGGGGAGUAACAUCUGGAAACAGGUGCUAAUACCGCAUAACAACGAAAACCACAUGGUUUCGUUUCAAAGAUGGUUUUGGCUAUCACUUCAGGAUGGGCCCGCGGUGCAUUAGCUAGUUGGUAAGGUAACGGCUUACCAAGGCGAUGAUGCAUAGCCGAGUUGAGAGACUGAUCGGCCACAAUGGAACUGAGACACGGUCCAUACUCCUACGGGAGGCAGCAGAA
rnacentral:rRNA from 1 species